UACAGAGGGGGCAAGCGUUGUUCGGAAUUACUGGGCGUAAAGGGCUCGUAGGCGGCCAACUAAGUCAGACGUGAAAUCCCCAGGCUCAACCUGGGAACUGCGUCUGAUACUGGAUGGCUUGAAUCCGGGAGAGGGAUGCAGAAUUCCAGGUGUAGCGGUGAAAUGCGUAGAUAUCUGGAGGAAUACCGGUGGCGAAGGCGGCAUCCUGGACCGGCAUUGACGCUGAUGAGCGAAAGCCAGGGGAGCAAACGGG
rnacentral:rRNA from 1 species